rnacentral:sRNA from 1 species
AAUCCUGAAGAAGAUGGGGGUGAGUUUGAUUCACCUCAAAGAUGGGAGAGUCCAGUUGGUCCAACAUGCAAUCCAAGGUAGUAUUGACUGCUGGACCAGCUCAGUUUGGGCUGGAUCUGUCUAAACAUAAAGAGACAAGAGGAUUUGUUGCAAGCAGUAAACCAUACAAUGGUUGUUCAGAGCUUACUAACCCAGAGGCAGUGAUGGGAAAAAUCGCAUUGAUACAAAGAGGACAGUGCAUGUUUGCAGAAAAGGCACGCAACAUCCAGAAUGCUGGAGCCAUUGGUGGCAUUGUUAUUGAUGACAAUGAGGGGAGCAGCAGUGAUACUGCCCCUCUGUUCCAGAUGGCAGGUGAUGGAAAAGAUACGGAUGACAUCAAGAUCCCCAUGCUGUUCUUAUUCAGCAAAGAAGGAAGUAUCAUACUGGAUGCCAUCCGGGAAUAUGAGGAGGUAGAAGUGCUCCUUUCUGAUAAAGCAAAAGAUCGAGAUCCU